CCUACGGGUGGCAGCAGUGAGGAAUAUUGGUCAAUGGGCGCGAGCCUGAACCAGCCAAGUAGCGUGAAGGAUGACUGCCCUACGGGUUGUACACUUCUUUUAUAAAGGAAUAAAGUGAGGCACGUGUGCCUUUUUGUAUGUACUUUAUGAAUAAGGAUCGGCUAACUCCGUGCCAGCAGCCGCGGUAUACGGGGGAUCCGAGGGUUUUCCGGAUUUAUUGGGUUUAAAGGGAGCGUAGAUGGGUUGUUAAGUCAGUUGUGAAAGUUUGCGGCUCAACCGUAAAAUUGCAAUUGAUACUGGCAGUCUUGAGUACAGUUGAGGUAGGCGGAAUUCGUGGUGUAGCGGUGAAAUGCUUAGAUAUCACGAAGAACCCCGAUUGCGAAGGCAGCUUACUAAACUGUGACUGACAUUGAUGCUCGAAAGUGUGGGUAUCAAACAGGAUUAGAUACCCUGGUAGUC
rnacentral:rRNA from 1 species